rnacentral:rRNA from 1 species
GGAUUAGUACGUUGGUCGUGCCUUCGGUACGUACUGGUGUUACUGAUUCCUACCUUCUGACGAACCAUCAUGUCAUUAAUUUGGUGUGGCGGGGAAUCAGGACUGUUACUUUGAAAAAAUUAGAGUGUUUAAAGCAGGCUCGCGCUUGAAUACAUUAGCAUGGAAUAAUGAAAUAGGACGUUGACCCUAUUUUGUUGGUUUCUAGGAUUGACGUAAUGAUUAAUAGGGAUAGUUGGGGGCAUUAGUAUUCAAUUGUCAGAGGUGAAAUUCUUGGAUUUAUUGAAGACUAACUACUGCGAAAGCAUUUGCCAAGGAUGUUUUCAUUAAUCAAGAACGAAAGUUAGGGGAUCGAAGACGAUCAGAUACCGUCGUAGUCUUAACCAUAAACUAUGCCGACUAGGGAUCGGAUGAUGUUAUUUUUAAUGACUCAUUCGGCGCCUUACGGGAAACCAAAGUGUUUGGGUUCCGGGGGGAGUAUGGUCGCAAGGCUGAAACUUAAAGGAAUUGACGGAAGGGCACCACCAGGGGUGGAGCCUGCGGCUUAAUUUGACUCAACACGGGGAAACUCACCAGGUCCAGACAUAGUUAGGAUUGACAGAUUGAGAGC